rnacentral:rRNA from 1 species
AUUGAACGCUGGCGGCAUGCCUUACACAUGCAAGUCGAGCGGCAGCGCGGGGGCAACCCUGGCGGCGAGCGGCGAACGGGUGAGUAAUGCCAUCGGAACGUGUCCUUUUGUGGGGAUAACCAGUCGAAAGACUGGCUAAUACCGCAUGAGCUCGUAAGAGGAAAGCAGGGGACCCGCAAGGGCCUUGCGCGAGAGGAGCGGCCGAUGCCCGAUUAGCUAGNGGUGGGUAAUGGCCCACCAAGGCGACGAUCGGUAGCUGGUCUGA